UACGUAGGGUGCAAGCGUUGUCCGGAUUUAUUGGGCGUAAAGAGCUCGUAGGCGGUUUGUCGCGUCGGAUGUGAAAACCCCGGGCUCAACCCUGGGCCUGCAUUCGAUACGGGCAAACUAGAGUAUGGCAGGGGAGACUGGAAUUCCUGGUGUAGCGGUGAAAUGCGCAGAUAUCAGGAGGAACACCGGUGGCGAAAGCGGCUCCCUGGUCCAGCACCGACGUUCAGGCACGAAAGCGUGGGGAGCAAACAGG
rnacentral:rRNA from 1 species